rnacentral:rRNA from 1 species
GCUAGCGGCAGGCUUCAUACAUGCAAGUCGAGGGGCAGCAUAAAUUACUUGUAAUUUGAUGGCGACCGGCGAACGGGUGCGUAACGCGUAUGCAACUUACCUUUUACUAGAGAAUAGCCAAGAGAAAUUUUGAUUAAUGCUCUAUGUUCUUAUUUACUCGCAUGAGUAAAUAAGCAAAGCUCCGGCGGUAAAAGAUGGGCAUGCGUCCUAUUAGCUUGUAGGUGAGGUAAUGGCUCACCUAAGCUCCGAUAGGUAGGGGUCCUGAGAGGGAGAUCCCCCACACUGGUACUGAGACACGGACCAGACUUCUACGGAAGGCAGCAGUAAGGAAUAUUGGACAAUGGAGGCAACUCUGAUCCAGCCAUGCCGCGUGAAGGAAGACGGCCUUAUGGGUUGUAAACUUCUUUUAUACAGGAAGAAACCUUUCCACGUGUGGAAAGUUGACGGUACUGUAAGAAUAAGGAUCGGCUAACUCCGUGCCAGCAGCCGCGGUAAUACGGAGGAUCCAAGCGUUAUCCGGAAUUAUUGGGUUUAAAGGGUCCGCAGGCUGUUUGUUAAGUCAGAGGUGAAAUCCUACCGCUCAACGGUAGAACUGCCUUUGAUACUGGCAAACUUGA